GCGGGCGUAGCUCAGGGGUAGAGCACAACCUUGCCAAGGUUGGGGUCGAGCGUUCGAAUCUCUUCGCCCGCUCCA
rnacentral:tRNA from 1 species